ACGUAGGAGGCGAGCGUUAUCCGGAUUUACUGGGCGUAAAGCGCGUGCAGGCGGAUCAAUAAGUUGGAUGUGAAAGCCUCCGGCUUAACUGGAGAAGGGCGUUCAAGACUGUUGGGCUAGAGGAUGAGUGAGGUAAGUGGAAUUUCGAGUGUAGUGGUGAAAUGCGUAGAUAUUCGGAGGAACACCAGUGGCGAAAGCGGCUUACUGGCUCAUAACUGACGCUCAGACGCGAAAGCUAGGGUAGCAAACGG
rnacentral:rRNA from 1 species